rnacentral:lncRNA from 1 species
UGGGAUUUCAUGUUGCACGAUUUUCUUUUUCUUGGAGCUAGGGUCAAAGGCUACAUCAUCCAUUUUCCUUUUGCCAUUUUUAUUCUGCCCACACACCAAAACCUAUUUCUGGAGACUCGAAUGGCAAGGGGCUCGUCGGGCCUACUCUUCGAGUCGGACAACAUUGUUAUCGAUCGGGUAAUACAACGUGUGGGAGUCUGUC